CGGUGAUAAACCGGAGGAAGGUGGGGACGACGUCAAGUCAUCAUGGCCCUUACGAGUAGGGCUACACACGUGCUACAAUGGCGCAUACAGAGGGCAGCCAACUUGCGAAAGUGAGCGAUCCCAAAAAGUGCGUCGUAGUCCGGAUUGGAGUCUGCAACUCGACUCCAUGAAGUCGGAAUCGCUAGUAAUCGUGGAUCAGAAUGCCACGGUGAAUACGUUCCCG
rnacentral:rRNA from 1 species